rnacentral:rRNA from 1 species
AAGCUCGUAGUUGAAUUUCGGGGUUAGUAGGUUGGUCAUGCCUCUGGUAUGUACUGGUCUCACUGAUCCCUCCUUCCUUAUGAACCGUAAUGCCAUUAAUUUGGUGUUGCGGGGAAUUUGGACUGUUACUUUGAAAAAAUUAGAGUGUUUAAAGCAAGCUAACGCUUGAAUACAUUAGCAUGGAAUAAUGAAAUAGGACGUUCGAUCUUAUUUUGUUUGGUUUUCUAGGAUUGACGUAAUGAUUAAUAGGGAUAGUUGGG